GAUGAACGCUGGCGGCGUGCUUAACACAUGCAAGUCGAGCGAAGCGCUUAAGUUUGAUUCUUCGGAUGAAGACUUUUGUGACUGAGCGGCGGACGGGUGAGUAACGCGUGGGUAACCUGCCUCAUACGAGGGGGAUAACAGUUAGAAAUGACUGCUAAUACCGCAUAAGACCACAGGGACGCAUGGCCCGGUAGGUAAAAACUCCGGUGGUAUGAGAUGGACCCGCGUCUGAUUAGCUAGUUGGUGGGGUAACGGCUCACCAAGGCGACGAUCAGUAGCCGACCUGAGAGGAUGAACGGCCACAUUGGGACUGAGAUACGGCCCAG
rnacentral:rRNA from 1 species